rnacentral:lncRNA from 1 species
AGCCUGAUGUUGACUCCUGUGUUCGUUUGCUCAGGCUGCCAACACCGACUGGGGGCUUCAAUAAUGGAAGCUUAUUUUCACACAGUUCUGGAGGCUGGAGUUCCAAGAUCAAGGUUUUGGCAGCAAACUCCAAUGUCAUCUCCUCCAUGAAGCCCUGGCUGCCACUCACAGAGAAGCAGGCUGAGUCCUGCACCAGGAUGCCUGGCUGAGGAGCAGAGUGGCAUAAAAGCAUUUGCUCUUUGUUUGCAGGCCGCUGGGCCCAGGAGGCUGGGUCUGUUCAGAAUCUCUGCCCGGCCAGGCAGCAGGCGCUGACUCUCGCACUGUCCGGUUCGAAGAGCUGUUUUCUGCAGGUACUUGCAGUAGCAGCUGGCCUGGGACCCACCCCCGGGCAAAGUCCGCUCCGGAGUCUGUCACUUCCCGGCGCGGGCCACCCAGCCCCUGGCGCCCUGGCGCUCAGCGCUCCGCGGGCGCGCCCUCUGGCGGCAAGAGCCCUGAACAUUUCGCAAGCGGCGAAGGCUGGCGCGUGUUAUCCUGGGCACCCACCGGACCGAAUCGCUGGGCAGGGCUGCAAGGUGACUUGCUAACGCAAUCAGACCAGAAAGGAGCGCGCGUCUAACUAAGCGGGGGAGGGGAGAAGCAUGUUCAUAUUUUGUAAAAUGCAAGUGGCACCUCUCCCCAUUUUCCUCAAAAUUUUAUUCUGAAAAACUUUAGUACUUAAAAGUUCAAAUGCUUUUACAGUGGACACACAUUUAUCUAUCAGCUAGAUUCUGUUAUUCACAUUUUACUCUAUUGGUUUCAUUGCAUAUCUGUCCAUCUAUUCAUCCCUCUUUCCAUCCUUCAAACUAUCUUAUUU